GGGGGACUUCCGGUCAUGGGGGUACUUCCGGUCAUGCGGUUACCUCGGGUCAAAGUGAGGCUUCUGGGGUUACUUCCGGUCAUGGGGUCACUUCGGGUCAAGGAGAGGCAGCUGGGGUCACGCCCGGUCACGGGGUCACUUCCGGUCAAGAGGUUACCAAAGCUCACGGGGUCGUCUCAGGUCACGGGGUCACCUCAGGUCAAGGGGUCACCUCAGGUCACGGCGGGGGCGAAGGCGACGGGGUCGCUCCGGGUCGCGGGAACGUCAGCCCCGGGGUCGCUUCCGGUCGAGGGGUCACUUCCGGUCCGGGGCUUCCUUCCGGCCACGGGGUCGCUUCCGGUCACGUGCACCCCUCGGCUGGCCCGGGGGGGUCCACCCCUCCCCCCACCCCACCGGAAGUGGACUCGGAGGAAGUGGAGGUCACCGACCUCAGCGAUGAGGACGACGCCGCCGCCCCCCCCCCGCCCCCCAUCCCCGCCCCCCGUCUGGAGGGGGGGGGGAGGAGGAGGG
rnacentral:lncRNA from 1 species